GGAUUGGAGUCUGCAACUCGACUCCAUGAAGUCGGAAUCGCUAGUAAUCGUGGAUCAGAAUGCCACGGUGAAUACGUUCCCGGGCCUUGUACACACCGCCCGUCACACCAUGGGAGUGGGUUGCAAAAGAAGUAGGUAGCUUAACCUUCAGGAGGGCGAUUACCACUUUGUGAUUCAUGACUGGGGUGAAGUCGUAACAAUGUAACCGUAGGGGAACCUGCGGUUGGAUCACCUCCUUACCUUAAAGAA
rnacentral:rRNA from 1 species